GACGAACGCUGGCGGCGUGCUUAACACAUGCAAGUCGAACGGAAAGGCCUGCUUUCCCUUGUGGAUUGCGGGUACUCGAGUGGCGAACGGGUGAGUAACACGUGAGUGAUCUGCCCCCAACUUGGGUAUAAGCCUGGGAAACUGGGUCUAAUUCCCGAUAGGACUGCAGGGUGGUGCCUGUGGUGGAAAACGAUUUUCUAGUGGUUGGGGAUGAGCUCGCGGCCUAUCAGCUUGUUGGUGGGGUAAUGGCCUACCAAGGCGGCGACGGGUAGCCGGCCUGGGAGGGUGGACGGCCACAUUGGGACUGGGAUACGGCCCAGACUCCUACGGGAGGCAGCAGUGGGGAAUAUUGCGCAAUGGGCGGGAGCCUGAUGCAGCGACGCCGCGUGGGGGAUGACGGCCUUCGGGUUGUAAACUCCUUUCGACCGCGAGGAAGCCACCUGGUUGGAAGGGUGGUGACGGUAGUGGUAGAAGAAGCACCGGCUAACUACGUG
rnacentral:rRNA from 1 species